CUUCAACCCAGAUCCCUGCUUGAAGACAAGAACAGACUUUAUCACAGCCUACAAAAAUGAUUUGCCAUCCAACAGGAGAAAGCAUGUCAAGCUUGUGCACAGAUCUACAUCAGGAGGAGCUCUUUUCCUGGGGGGCCCUCCAGUGAUCGCUGUCGCAGCAGUGAACAUGGACAGCUGUGCGCUGUCUUUGUGUCUGAGGAGGUGGGGGUCAGAGUCUCGUGCAAGAAGCGCCGCUAUCGCUGUCAUCACGCCUGGCUGCUGAUAGGAGACACACUGCACACACGGUGUGAGGGUAAAUUUUUAGUGCUGGGUGAGAGAAAAAGACCGCUAGCUAACCGCUAGCUCAUCAGGACGCCCCAAUGUGAGAUGACCCGGGGCAAGGAGGGGGUGGGGAACCCGUCACUAUGAUAACUUUUUCCUGAACAUGAGCAAAACCAAGGAAUUGGUGGUGGAUUUUGGAAGAAAACAGCAGAGAAACUACACACCUCUGAGAAUCAACACCAGGACACCAGAAGGCGUAGAACCAGAGCUAGUAGGAUUAUGAAGUAUCCUCACUGCCCCAGCAAUGGACUAUUCCAGCUUACACACUUUUUCCAAACGCCUCUGUAACCAAGUCCACAACAAAAAGACUAAGAUAAAGGUUUGUUCCUCAGGCCAUCAGAAUGGUAGACUCUGACCUUUUUAUCUCCUGAACCUUGUCUUACAAAUUUUCUUUGAAUCCUUUGCGCUGACUUGCAUGUGGAAUUUAACUGCUACAGUUGAAGGCAGAAGUGUAUCCAUCACACAUUUGAAAGUUAAACAACUGCCUCUUUGUAUUCAGGAAUCUUUCAUGUAAAUCUUAUAUGGUGUAUAAAAAAAAAUUGCUGCAUAUUUCAUGCAGGAUCUUCAGUCCCUUUGUGA